AGAGUUUGAUCCUGGCUCAGGACGAACGCUGGCGGCGUGCUUAAGACAUGCAAGUCGAGCGAAGCGCUUCUCAUGAGGCUUCGGUGGAUUGAGGGGUUAGCUUAGCGGCGGACGGGUGAGUAACACGUGGAUAACCUGCCCUCAAGAUCGGGACAACCAGUCGAAAGACGGGCUAAUCCCGGAUGUGGCGUUCUGGAGACAUCUCCGGUUCGUCAAAGGAGCAAUCCGCUUGAGGAGGGGUCCGCGGCCCAUUAGCUAGUUGGUGGGGUAAAAGCCUACCAAGGCGGCGAUGGGUAGCCGGCCUGAGAGGGUGGACGGCCACACUGGGACUGAGACACGGCCCAGACUCCUACGGGAGGCAGCAGUCGGGAAUCUUCCGCAAUGGGCGCAAGCCUGACGGAGCGACGCCGCGUGGGUGAAGAAGGUCUUCGGAUCGUAAAGCCCUGUUCUGAGGGACGAACACUGACGGUACCUCAGGAGAAAGCCCCGGCUAACUACGUGCCAGCAGCCGCGGUAAUACGUAGGGGGCAAGCGUUGUCCGGAAUCACUGGGCGUAAAGGGUGCGUAGGCGGGCUUGUAAGUCUCGGGUGAAAGGCCCCGGCUCAACCGGGGAGAUGCCUGGGAAACUGCAAGCCUUGAGGGCUGGAGAGGAUAGCGGAAUUCCCGGUGUAGCGGUGGAAUGCGUAGAGAUCGGGAAGAACACCAGUGGCGAAGGCGGCUAUCUGGACAGUCCCUGACGCUGAGGCACGAAAGCUGGGGGAGCGAACAGGAUUAGAUACCCUGGUAGUCCCAGCCGUAAACGAUGGGUACUAGGUGUGGGCGGUUCAGACCGUCCGUGCCGGAGUUCACACAAUAAGUACCCCGCCUGGGGAGUACGGCCGCAAGGCUGAAACUCAAAGGAAUUGACGGGGGCCCGCACAAGCGGUGGAGCAUGUGGUUUAAAUUCGAAGCAACGCGAAGAACCUUACCAGGGCUUGACAUCCCCUCGACGGAUCCAGAGAUGGAUCGUCCCUUCGGGGCGAGGGAGACAGGUGGUGCAUGGUUGUCGUCAGCUCGUGUCGUGAGAUGUUGGGUUAAGUCCCGCAACGAGCGCAACCCCUGCGCUUAGUUGCUCUUCGGAGCUCUCUAAGCGGACUGCCGGUGACAAACCGGAGGAAGGUGGGGAUGACGUCAAAUCAUCAUGCCCCUUAUGUCCUGGGCUACACACGUGCUACAAUGGCCGGUACAACGGGAAGCGAGAGGGCGACCUUGAGCCAAUCCCCCAAAGCCGGUCUCAGUUCGGAUCGCAGGCUGCAACCCGCCUGCGUGAAGGCGGAAUCGCUAGUAAUCGCAGGUCAGCAUACUGCGGUGAAUACGUUCCCGGGCCUUGUACACACCGCCCGUCACACCACGAAAGUUUGUCACACCCGAAGCCGGUGGCCUAACCUUUUAGGGGGGAGCCGUCGAAGGUGGGGCGGAUGAUUGGGGUGAAGUCGUAACAAGGUAACCGUA
rnacentral:rRNA from 1 species